rnacentral:rRNA from 1 species
UUUAAAUGUAAAAUAAAUAUACUAAAUUAGUAUUAGUUAUGUUCUUGAAAUUUAAAGAUUUUGGCGGUAUUUUAGUCUAUUUAGAGGAGCCUGUUCUAUUAUUGAUAAUCCACGAUUAAUUUUACUUAAUUUAAAUAAAUUUGUAUACCGUCGUUAUAAGAAGAUUUUAAAAGAAUAUAAAUUUUUAGUAUUUUAUAUAAAAAAAUAUAUCAGAUCAAGGUGCAGUUUAUAGUUAAGCAGAAAUGGGCUACAAUAAAUUUAUUUAUACGGAUUAGAAGGAGAAUAUAUUUCUAUGAAGGUGGAUUUAAUAGUAAUAAAAUUAAUUUAAAUUUUAUGAUUUUAGCUCUAAAA